GUGCCAGCCGCCGCGGUAAUACGGGGGGGACGAGCGUUGUUCGGAUUUACUGGGCGUAAAGGGCGCGUAGGCGGGUCUUCAAGUCGGAUGUGAAAACUAUCAGCUUAACUGGUAGCCUGCAUUUGAUACUGUUGAUCUUGAGUACGGGAGAGGAGAGUGGAAUUCCAGGUGUAGCGGUGAAAUGCGUAGAUAUCUGGAAGAACACCAGUAGCGAAGGCGGCUCUCUGGACCGAUACUGACGCUCAAGCGCGAAGGCUUGGGGAGCAAACAGGAUUAGAAACCCGCGUAGUCC
rnacentral:rRNA from 1 species